GUGGGGAAUAUUGGACAAUGGGCGAAAGCCUGAUCCAGCCAUGCCGCGUGUGUGAAGAAGGUCUUCGGAUUGUAAAGCACUUUAAGUUGGGAGGAAGGGCAGUAAGUUAAUACCUUGCUGUUUUGACGUUACCGACAGAAUAAGCACCGGCUAACUUCGUGCCAGCAGCCGCAGUAAUACGAAGGGUGCAAGCGUUAAUCGGAAUUACUGGGCGUAAAGCGCGCGUAGGUGGUUUUGUAAGUUGGAGGUGAAAUCCCCGGGCUCAACCUGGGAACUGCCUCCAAAACUGCAUGACUAGAGUACGGUAGAGGGUAGUGGAAUUUCCUGUGUAGCGGUGAAAUGCGUAGAUAUAGGAAGGAACACCAGUGGCGAAGGCGACUACCUGGACUGAUACUGACACUGAGGUGCGAAAGCGUGGGGAGCAAACAGGAUUAGAAACCCCUGUAGUCC
rnacentral:rRNA from 1 species